CCCUGCACUUUCCAGGAUUUGGACACUGCUUGCUCUCAGCGUCUCGUCUGCCGACGGUGGUAGCGCGGUGAAAGUCCUCUCCCUUCAAGGAUGCGUGUGUGGUGAGGUGAUAAAAAAAGUGGGCCCCAGCAAAUUUAGUGGGAUGCUGCGGAGUAGAGAGUCAAAGAGCAAGGCGUGGCAAACUCUCUCAGCCAACGAGCUCAUCUCCAAGCCUCAGCCAUGGCGACGGAGCGGCCGUCAACGCCGCACCUCCUCGUCGUCCCCUUCCCGGCGCAGGGCCACGCUCUGCCGCUGCUCGACCUGGCCGCGCUGCUCGCGUCCCGCGGCCUCCGCCUCACCGUCGUCACCACGCCCGCCAACGCGCCGCUCCUGUCCCCUCUCCUCGCCGCCCACCCCGGCUCCGUCCAGCCCCUCGUCCUCCCCUUCCCCGCGCACCCCUCCCUCCCGCCAGGCCUCGAGAACACCAGGAGCUGCCCGCCCUCCUACUUCCCCGUCUUCAUCCACGCGCUCGCCGCGCUCCGCCAGCCCGUCCUCGCGUGGGCCAGGUCGCACCCUCACCCCGUCGCCGCCGUCGUGUCCGACUUCUUCUGCGCGUGGACGCAGCCCCUCGCGGCGGAUCUCGGCGUGCCCCGGAUCGUCUUCUCGCCCUCGGGCGUCCUCGGCACCGCCGUCCCGCACUCGCUGUUCCGUCGGCUGGUCAAGCGGCCGUCGGAUGCCGAUGACGGGUUCGGCGUCUCGUUCCCGGCGAUUCCCGGCGAGCCGGCGUUUCAGUGGAGGGAGAUCUCCGGGAUGUACAGGGGCUACAUGGAAGGCCAGGUGGGGGAGCAGGUCGGCGAGGCCGUGAGGCAGAACUUCCUCUGGAACCUGGAGAGCUGGGGGUUUGUGUCGAACACCUUCCGUGCGCUCGAGGGGAGGUACCUGGACUCGCCGCUCGAGGACCUGGGGUACAAGCGCGUGUGGGCGGUGGGUCCGCUCGCGCCGGAGACGAGCAGCUCCGGAGAUCGUGGCGGCGAGGCGGCUCUUGUCGCCGGCGGUCUCGGGGCGUGGCUGGACGGCUUCCCGCAGGGCUCGGUCGUGUACGUGUGCUUCGGCAGCCAGGCCGUGCUGACCCCGGCCGUGGCGACGGCCCUAGCCGAGGCGCUGGAGCGCAGCGCCGUCCCGUUCCUGUGGGCCGCGGGCGACGGCGCGGUGCUCCCGGAAGGGUUCGAGGCGCGCGCGGAGGCGGCGAGGUGCGGGAUGGUGGUGCGCGGGUGGGCGCCGCAGGUGGCCAUCCUGCGGCACGCGGCGGUGGGGUGGUUCAUGACGCACUGCGGCUGGAACUCGGUGCUGGAGGCGGCGGCAGCGGGCGUGCCCAUGCUGGCGUGGCCGAUGACGGCGGAUCAGUUCGUGAACGCGCGGCUGCUCGAGGACGAGGCGCGCGUCGCGGUGAGCGCGUGCGCGGGCGGGAUCGGCGUGGCCCCGGACUCCGGCGAGCUCGCGGCCGUGCUGGCCGGCGCUGUCGGGGAGGGAGGGAGCGCCGCGCGGGCGCGCGCCAAGGAGCUCGCGGCGGAAGCGGCCAGCGCGACCAAGGAAGGCGGGAGCUCGCGCGAGGAUCUGGAGCGGCUGCUGCUAGAGAUGCAGAAGCUUUGAGCCUUUGAACGUGGUGCGAAAGAUUUUAGAUAACAUUCACGGAGUUGUUUCUGCUAUACACUCGUCUUCAGAGAUUCCACUGUCAUUGAGGGCAUGUACCCCCAUAGUGAUGGCAAGAAGUUGGCCGGCGAAGCGACGCUCUGCUGGCUCCCUCACACGGCUUGUGGGGAGUGGCCGGGCGGAAGGUUCUUCAUCCCUGCGCAAGACGCCUAUCUCUGCUCCGUCGCCGCCGCGUCCCUGGCCUUCUUCAUGAAGAGCCAGUUUCGCCGGUCGGUGGUGACGAUCAACGUCGGCCUUCCACUCAGCGUUCGACAUGUCGGGGGGCCUUGCCAUCGGCUUCCUCUGCUUUGGCUGGACAAUGCCAUCAGUGGCUAGGUGAGGGCUGCAUAUUUCUUCGGUGGCAUGGCAGGCAGAUCUAGGGAAGAAUGGAGGGAGCAGCGGGGGAGAAGGAAGGGAUAAGGGGGAGAAUGGAGGAAAAGGGGGAAGAAAACGGCGGGAAAUCGUCCAAAGUCGCGGACAGCGCGGGCCCACACGCAUUUUCGCUUCAGUCGGUGCCCCUAGGCGCCUCCUGGCGCGCUGGGUUCGGCUUUGGAUCGCCAGUUGUUAUUUCGGCCCAAACCAGCGAUAAACAAUGAUCUGAAGGCGCGACUGGAACGAUUUUUCAUCACCAGCGUUAAAAAAGGCACACUGAAGAGUCUAUUGAGGGAAGGAGUGGAGAUGCUCACGGGGCUCAAAGAAGAGAGGAAGGACAACGAGCUCACCCUAAGCACAUGAUCAUGCUCGAUAAGGCACUGGAUGCACGGGAAGGCAAUUAACAGAGAUGGAGCUUGCGAGGAAGCACGCUCGGUGACGAGGCGCUACUGGAGGGCAUGGGUGGCUUCUAAAGGAUUCCAUGGAGCCUAGGAAGGCGACGAUAAUAGCAAGUAUGCAACUUUCUUUUUACUUAGUUUGUCCGAAAUCAAUCUCAUCCAACUUUGACCAAGUUUAUAUAAAAAAUUAUAGACAUUCACGUAAGAACAUCAAUAUCA